AUUGAACGCUGGCGGCAGGCUUAACACAUGCAAGUCGAGCGGGGGAAGGUAGCUUGCUACCGGACCUAGCGGCGGACGGGUGAGUAAUGCUUAGGAAUCUGCCUAUUAGUGGGGGACAACAUCUCGAAAGGGAUGCUAAUACCGCGUACGUCCUACGGGAGAAAGCAGGGGAUCUUCGGACCUUGCGCUAAUAGAUGAGCCUAAGUCGGAGUAGCUAGUUGGUGGGGUAAAGGCCUACCAAGGCGACGAUCUGUAGCGGGUCUGAGAGGAUGAUCCGCCACACUGGGACUGAGACACGGCCCAGACUCCUACGGGAGGCAGCAGUGGGGAAUAUUGGACAAUGGGGGGAACCCUGAUCCAGCCAUGCCGCGUGUGUGAAGAAGGCCUUAUGGUUGUAAAGCACUUUAAGCGAGGAGGAGGCUACUUUAGUUAAUACCUGGUGAUAGUGGACGUUACUCGCAGAAUAAGCACCGGCUAACUCUGUGCCAGCCGCCGCAGUAA
rnacentral:rRNA from 1 species